rnacentral:lncRNA from 1 species
CGAAACGCCCGAAUGCUUCCGAACUUCGCCAAACUUCAUCGAAACCAUUCGAAUGGCUUUCUAACCUCACAUAAACCAUAACUUCAUGAUUUUAGAAGUCCGGUACCUUACACUCUCUCUCUCUACUCUCUCUUUCUAGCCGAAUAGAAGGAGAAGAAGGAGAAAAGGAAAAGAGAAGGAAAAAGAAGGAAAAAGAGAGGAAGAAAAGGAAGGAGAAGAAGGAGAAGAAGGUUUGGGAGCUCUUCUUCAC